rnacentral:sRNA from 1 species
CCUUCCGUAGGUGAACCUGCGGAAGGAUCAUUACAGAGUUCAUGCCCUUCGGGGUAGAUCUCCCACCCUUGUAUAUUAUAAAUGUCUGUUGCUUUGGCGAACCGCAAGCCUGCUUGCCUGGGAUCUCCUAGUAUGUUUGCCAGAGGACCACCAAACUCUGAAUUUAAUUGUCGUCUGAGUAUUAUAAAAUAGUUAAAACUUUCAACAACGGAUCUCUUGGUUCUGGCAUCGAUGAAGAACGCAGCGAAAUGCGAUAAGUAAUGUGAAUUGCAGAAUUCAGUGAAUCAUCGAAUCUUUGAACGCACAUUGCGCCCCUUGGUAUUCCGGGGGGCAUGCCUGUUCGAGCGUCAUUAUAACCAAUCCAGUUUACUGGGUCUUGGGCUUCGCGGAUUCGCGGGCCUUAAAACUAGUGGCGGUGCUCUAAAGCUCUACGCGUAGUAAAUUUCUCGCUAUAGGGUCUCUAGGGAUGCUUGCCAACAACCCCAAAUUUUUUAGGUUGACCUCGGAUCAGGUAGGGAUACCCGCUGAACUUAAGCAUAUCAAUAAGCGGAGGAA